ACCAAGGCGCUUGAGAGAACUCGGGUGAAGGAACUAGGCAAAAUGGCACCGUAACUUCGGGAGAAGGUGCGCCGGUGAGGGUGAAGCAUUUACUGCGUAAGCCCACGCCGGUCGAAGAUACCAGGCCGCUGCGACUGUUUAUUAAAAACACAGCACUCUGCAAACACGAAAGUGGACGUAUAGGGUGUGACGCCUGCCCGGUGCCGGAAGGUUAAUUGAUGGGGUUAGCUAACGCGAAGCUCUUGAUCGAAGCCCCGGUAAACGGCGGCCGUAACAAUAACGGUCCUAAGGUAGCGAAAUUCCUUGUCGGGUAAGUUCCGACCUGCACGAAUGGCGUAACGAUGGCGGCGCUGUCUCCACCCGAGACUCAGUGAAAUUGAAAUCGCUGUGAAGAUGCAGUGUAUCCGCGGCUAGACGGAAAGACCCCGUGAACCUUUACUAUAGCUUUGCACUGGACUUUGAAUUUGCUUGUGUAGGAUAGGUGGGAGGCUUUGAAGCGUGGACGCCAGUCUGCGUGGAGCCAACCUUGAAAUACCACCCUGGCAACUUUGAGGUUCUAACUCAGGUCCGUUAUCCGGAUCGAGGACAGUGUAUGGUGGGUAGUUUGACUGGGGCGGUCUCCUCCUAAAGAGUAACGGAGGAGUACGAAGGUGCGCUCAGACCGGUCGGAAAUCGGUCGUAGAGUAUAAAGGCAAAAGCGCGCUUGACUGCGAGACAGACACGUCGAGCAGGUACGAAAGUAGGUCUUAGUGAUCCGGUGGUUCUGUAUGGAAGGGCCAUCGCUCAACGGAUAAAAGGUACUCCGGGGAUAACAGGCUGAUACCGCCCAAGAGUUCAUAUCGACGGCGGUGUUUGGCACCUCGAUGUCGGCUCAUCACAUCCUGGGGCUGAAGCCGGUCCCAAGGGUAUGGCUGUUCGCCAUUUAAAGUGGUACGCGAGCUGGGUUUAGAACGUCGUGAGACAGUUCGGUCCCUAUCUGCCGUGGACGUUUGAGAUUUGAGAGGGGCUGCUCCUAGUACGAGAGGACCGGAGUGGACGAACCUCUGGUGUUCCGGUUGUCACGCCAGUGGCAUUGCCGGGUAGCUAUGUUCGGAAUAGAUAACCGCUGAAAGCAUCUAAGCGGGAAACUAGCCUCAAGAUGAGAUCUCACUGGAACCUUGAGUUCCCUGAAGGGCCGUCGAAGACUACGACGUUGAUAGGUGGGGUGUGUAAGCGCUGUGAGGCGUUGAGCUAACCCAUACUAAUUGCCCGUGAGGCUUGACCGA
rnacentral:rRNA from 1 species